rnacentral:rRNA from 1 species
UGCAUAUCAAAAGCGGAGGAAAAGAAACUAACAAGGAUUCCCCUAGUAACGGCGAGUGAAGCGGGAUGAGCUCAAAUUUGUAAUCUGGUGGACUCAGUUCAUCCGAAUUGUAAUCUAUAGAAAAGUUUUCCGCGCUGGACCGUGUCUAAGUCCCUUGGAACAGGGUGUCAGAGAGGGUGAGAAUCCCGUGCUUGAUACGACCACCAUUGCUAUGUGAUACUUUUUCAACGAGUCGAGUUGUUUGGGAAUGCAGCUCAAAAUGGGUGGUAAAUUCCAUCUAAAGCUAAAUAUUGGCGAGAGACCGAUAGCGAACAAGUACCGUGAGGGAAAGAUGAAAAGCACUUUGGAAAGAGAGUUAAACAGUACGUGAAAUUGUUAAAAGGGAAACGAUUGAAGUCAGUCGUGCUCUCUAGGACUCAGCCAGUUCUUCUGGUGUAUUUCCUAGUGAGCGGGUCAACAUCAGUUUAGAUCGCUGGAUAAGGUCAUUAGGAAUGUGGCUCCCUCGGGAGUGUUAUAGCCUAGUGUCGCAUACAGUGGUUUAGACUGAGGAACGCAGCUCGCCUUUAUGGCCGGGGUUCGCCCACGUCCGAGCUUAGGAUGUUGACAUAAUGGCUUUAAACGACCCGUCUUG